ACUUGGAUGUGGAUUCUUCACGGCAACGUAACAGAAUGCGGAGACGCCGGCGGGAGCCCUGGGAGGAGUUUUCUNUUCUUCUUAACAGCCUAUCACCCUGGAAUUGGUUUAUCCGGAGAGGGGGUNUUAUGGCUGGAAGAGGUNGCCCUUGUUGCGACGUCCGGUGCGCUUGCGACGGUCCUUGAAAAUCCGCAGGAAGGAAUAGUUUUCACGCCAAGUCGUACU
rnacentral:rRNA from 1 species